UUCUGCAUCUGCCAAGAGUUUUCACCGAACUGCUGAGGUCUCCACCAAGGUUAAAAAAUACGAUGCUUGUCGACAUACAUAAACAUACAACGUGGUUAUUUGGUUCCCAUGGGGACCAACUGCAGCGCUAAACAGGAAACAAACCUGAAAACGACAGCAUGCGUGAACAAGAUCAUAGCCUCACAGUCAGCUGAACAGUGUUCGGCACCAGCUGGAAAAAAUAUUUCAACCUUCUUAAAUUUAUCAGGCCGACACAAGGAGGCAUAUUAUUGUGAAGUGGAAGGAAAUGAUGCUCCUAAAUAAAAUCCAAUGGGAAGGAAGAUAUAAUAAUCAAAAAGGCAGCCAAGAGGCCCACGGUAACUAUGGAGGAUCUGCAGAGAUUCAUGGCUCACCUGCAAAUCUGUUGGUAGGACAACUAUUAGCCGUGCACUCCACAGAUCUGCCACAAACCGUGUAAGAGACACAGCAAACAUGAAAGAAGGUGCUCAGGUCAGAAAAGACCAAAACAGACCUUUUUAGACUACAUGCAAAAUGCUUUGUGUUGUGGAAAACUAACAUGCACAACACUCUGAGCACUCCAUCCCCACAGUGAAACAUGGUGGUGGAAGCAUCAUGUAGGGACAAGGAAGCUGGUCUGAGUUUAUUUAAAGCUGGGUGACGUUAAAUACCGGGCAAUCCUGGAAGAGAUUCACCUUCCAGCAGGACAAAGACC